rnacentral:lncRNA from 1 species
GUCAUGAGGGUGGAGCCCUCAUGAAUGAGAUUAGUGUCCUUUUUUUCCUCUCUCUCUUUCUCCUUUUCUGUCUCAGGGAUGAAGCCCUUAGCAGGAACUAAAUCAGCCAGCACCUUGAUCUUGGACUUCCCAGUCUCCAUAACUGCUUGAUAAGGAAGAAAUGGAAGCUACAGUCUCUUUAAGCCUAGCUUUGGGCUGGGUGCUUAUUUAAGCCUUGCUUUGGGCUGAGUGGCUUAUACCUGUAAUUCCAGCAUUUUGGGAGGCUGAGGUGGGCAGACUGCUUGAGCCCAGGAAUUUGAGACCAGCCUGGGCAACAUGGCGAAACCCUGUCUCUACAAAAAAUACACAAAGUAGGUGGGCAUGGUACAUACUUGUAGUCCCAGCUACUUGGGAGGCUGAAGUGGGAGGAUAGCUUGAGCCCAGGAGGCUGAGGUUGCAGUGAGCUGACGUUGUACCACUGUGCUCCAGCCUGAGUGACAGAGCAGUACUCUGCCCCACCCCCACCAAA